rnacentral:rRNA from 1 species
UAACCUGCCCAAGAGAUCGGGAUAACACCUGGAAACANAUGCUAAUACCGGAUAACAACAGAUGAUGCCUAUCAACUGUUUAAAAGAUGGUUCUGCUAUCACUCUUGGAUGGACCUGCGGUGCAUUAGCUAGUUGGUAGGGUAACGGCCUACCAAGGCGAUGAUGCAUAGCCGAGUUGAGAGACUGAUCGGCCACAUUGGGACUGAGACACGGCCCAAACUCCUACGGGAGGCAGCAGCA